rnacentral:misc_RNA from 2 species
UGUGGGAGCGGGCUUGCUCGCGAAAGCGGUGGUUCUGUAACGGAUGUGUUGACUGACACUCCGCCUUCGCGAGCAAGCCCGCUCCCACA